rnacentral:lncRNA from 1 species
CUAAAGCUUGCACAAAUAUUUCAAAUAAGAACACUGAAAGAAUUUAUCCUGACCCUGAGUCUUGUGUCUAAUGAUGGCUUCAGCAUUCAAUAAGUUUGUAUUUCAUUAUUUUCAUUUCAGAUUCACUGAUACAUCCUUGGCCUUUAUGUGAGAAUUUGUCUCUAAGUAGAACAUAGAUUGUAAAAAAAAUUUUUUUUGUACUCACAAAAGGUUAUUAAGAACUGUCUCCAGUGCAUUUAGCAAUUCUGUACUUGAUAAUGUUACAAAUUCCACUUUUACAGCUGCUCCUUUAGCCUUCAUGUAAGCAAUGAUUUCAUGUUCCCCAAACAAAGGAAUGCCCACCAUUGGGAUUCCAUGGUAGAUUGCCUCAUAAACACCGUUGGCUCCACCAUGAGUGACAAAAGCUCUGGUUUUUGGGUGACCUAAGAUUAUGUCAAUAUCAGAAUAAUAAUUAGUUUUAAAUUUUAGAAAUACAAUGAGAAAUGUACAAUAUUGGUCACUACAAAUGGAGGUACUUUAUGGAUAAAGAACUUGCAUUUGUAUAACUACAGAGACAUUGCUUUUGAUUUUUUUUUUGCUUUGUUUUCAUUUUUUUGUUUUGUUUUGUUUUUGGAGACAAGGUCUUGCUAUGAAGUCCAGGUUGGCCUUGAACUCACUACGUAGUCCAUCCUAGACUUGAAGUAUUCCUCCUGCCUCAGCCUCCUGAGUGCUGAGAUUACAGGUAUGCAGCAACACACCUGGUGCAAUGCCAUUUCUUUUGUAUCUCAGAUCAAGAAUGCAAA